rnacentral:rRNA from 1 species
AGGAUGAACGCUGGCGGCGUGCCUAACACAUGCAAGUCGAACGUCCUGUCUCGCAAGAGGCAGGGAGUGGCGGACGGGUGAGUACCACGUGGGUCAUCUACCGUGAGGUGAGGAAUACCGGCGAGAAAUCGCCGACAAGACCGCAUAGGCUCGAUGCAAGUCGAGCAAAGCUCUUUCGAGAGAGGGAGCGCCACACGAGGAGCCUGCGCCCGAUUAGCUAGCUGGUGGAGUAACGGUUCACCAGGGCGACGAUCGGUAGCUGGUCUGAGAGGACGAUCAGCCACACUGGGAUUGAGAACGGCCCAGACUCCUACGGGGGCAGCAGUGAGGAAUUUUCGUCAAUGGGGGCAACCCUGAACGAGCAACGCCGCGUGCAGGAAGAAGGUUUUCGGAUCGUAAACUGCUUUUCUCGGGGAAGAGGAACGGACGGUACCCGAGGAAUCGAGCCCCGGCUAACUACGCGCCAGCAGCCGCGGU